UCCGCUAUAUCCCUGACUCCACUGAGGUC
rnacentral:piRNA from 1 species